GACGAACGCUGGCGGCGUGCUUAACACAUGCAAGUCGAACGGAAAGGCCCUGCUUGCAGGGUACUCGAGUGGCGAACGGGUGAGUAACACGUGGGUGAUCUGCCCUGCACUUCGGGAUAAGCCUGGGAAACUGGGUCUAAUACCGGAUAGGAGCCAUUUUUAGUGUGAUGGUUGGAAAGUUUUUUCGGUGUAGGAUGAGCUCGCGGCCUAUCAGCUUGUUGGUGGGGUAAUGGCCUACCAAGGCGGCGACGGGUAGCCGGCCUGAGAGGGUGGACGGCCACAUUGGGACUAAGAUACGGCCCAGACUCCUACGGGAGGCAGCAGUGGGGAAUAUUGCACAAUGGGCGCAAGCCUGAUGCAGCGACGCCGCGUGGGGGAUGACGGCCUUCGGGUUGUAAACUCCUUUCGCUAGGGACGAAGCUUUUUGUGACGGUACCUAGAUAAGAAGCACCGGCUAACUACGUG
rnacentral:rRNA from 1 species